rnacentral:pre_miRNA from 1 species
AAAGUACUCCCUCCGUCCCAAAAUUCUUGUCUUAGAUUUGUCUAGAUGCGGAUGUAUCAAGUCACAUUUUAGUAUUAGAUACAUCCGUAUCUAGACAAAUCUAAGACAAGAAAUUUGGGACAGAGGGAGUAGUUG